GAGGGAGUUGCAUCACUCCUGAUGCGCCACGUCAACAUCACUCUUAAAAAAAAACUUUACGAUUGGGCUUAAGCUUUGUAAUGUUUUUAAUGGGCUUUUCUUUUCAAUCGUGAUCCUUCGUCGUCUGAAACGACUCAUCUUACGGCGUGUUCUUAGGCUUUCCUUCCUUCUUCCAGAUCCUUCGUCAUCUGAAUGGAUUCAUCUUCCGGCAUAAACAUCCAUUGAUUAAACGCCUCCUCUUCAUGUAACGUCUUCUCAAACAUCCUAUAUAUAGAGGUCGUCUAUGAACUGCUCAAUCCGUUGUUGGUCACCUCAUCUGCUUUUGGGAUUCCCGGAACAUCAACAAGAACGGAGAGUUCAUGGGGAUAACGAUUCUGCUCCUCGAUGAAUUGAUGGAAAAAAAAAUCAAGGUGGUUAUUGAGAUCAAGCAACGAAAUGUGGCUGAGGAAAAUCGGUAAACACAGGAGCUUUUAAAGGAUAGGGAGCAAGCUUUGCAAGAUCAGUUAAUGCAAGCAAAAGACAGUGUCUCCACUAUGCAAAAAUUGCAUGAGUUAGCACAGAGCCAACUUUUUGAACUCCGUGUUCAAUCAGGUUAGUCAUUCUGAGAAUUUUAAGAGAUUCACUUGGAAGAACGUCCUAAACUGCUCUGGGAGGUUGUUGGUUUGUCUAUGAGUUAUGUUAUAGACAUCGAGAAGGUGUUAGAAAUGAUACAUUUUUCUAAAAGUAAGAGUCACUUGCAAAACAGAAGGCAAGAGUGUAAGCUUGGACCAAUCUUAAACUUUCCAAAGGACUCGAGCUGUUAUUUUCGCUCACCUUACGACAAAGAAGGCUUAUGGGUUCUUCUACCGGAUUCAAACAACAUAUGGUACUUUCAGAAGGUUAGCUCCAUGGAUGAAUCUGAAGCUAUGCACACUUCUUCAAGUGCUAUUAGUUUGACAAUGAAAAGUUUAGGAGCCAGGUUGAGGCAAAGAACAAGGAAGUUAGAGAAGGUUAAAAGCCUAUCCAGAUUGGUAAUGGGGAAAUGCUUAAAACCUGCAGAAGGUACUAAAUUUGACUUGCUUAUGAUGAGUUCUGCCUAAGAGAUGCUUGGAUCAGUUGUGAUGAAAGGACAUUACUGAAAGUUGAGUAUUUGAAAAGAAGAAGCGUUUGGAGGGUGAGGUCGCAGAAGAAGGUGUGGAGGAGGAAGAAGAUGAUAAUCUAUAGAAUUAUGUAAGCAAAUAUAGUGAAGACACGUCAAACACUUUGCCCUGGUGUUUGUUCUUCUUUUACUGUAGAUUCUGCCUCUAAAUUUUACACAGUCAAACACUUUACCCUUUUAUUUGUUUUUCUGCUGAUUCCAUAGAUGUUAAUCUCUAACUUUUUAAAAGAUUAAAUAACUAAUUUAGUUAAACCAGUUCUAAAUAAUAAAGAAAAAUGUUAUUUU